rnacentral:misc_RNA from 1 species
AAGUCGUAACAAGGUUUCCGUAGGUGAACCUGCGGAAGGAUCAUUAUUGAAUAACUUGGUGUUGAGCUGGUCCUAUUGGGCAUGUGCUCGCAUCAUAUUAUUUAUCUAUCUCUUGUGCACCUUUUGUAGUCUUUGAAGUGUUCGCAGUCAAUGCGGUUUGGGGCUUGGGCUUUUGCAGUCCUUUCCCUGUUUGCUUCAAAGGCUAUGUUUUAUACACACUAUUUGAAGUUACAGAAUGUCUCUUAUUGACCUUUGAGUCAGUAAAUCAAUACAACUUUCAGCAACGGAUCUCUUGGCUCUC